rnacentral:rRNA from 1 species
AAAGUUCCUUUCGGGGAGCGAGUAGAGUGGCGCACGGGUGAGUAACACGUAGGUAAUCUACCUUUGGAUUGGGAAUAACCACCGGAAACGGUGGCUAAUACCGAAUAAUGCAGCGGCACCUAAUGGUGACAGUUGUUAAAGCGGGGGAUCGCAAGACCUCGCGUCUAAAGAGGAGCCUGCGGCGGAUUAGCUAGUUGGUAAGGUAACGGCUUACCAAGGCGAUGAUCCGUAGCCGGCCUGAGAGGGCGGUCGGCCACACUGACACUGACAUACGGGUCAGACUCCUACGGGAGGCAGCAGUCGGGAAUUUUGGGCAAUGGGCGAAAGCCUGACCCGGCAACGCCGCGUGAAGGAUGAAAUCCCUCGGGAUGUAAACUUCGCAAGGACGGGAAGAAUAAGUCGGUGCCAACACCAUCGACGAUGACGGUACUGUUUGUAAGCUCCGGCUAACUCCGUGCCAGCAGCCGCGGUAAUACGGGGGGAGCAAGCGUUGUUCGGAUUUACUGGGCGUAAAGGGCGUGUAGGCGGCCACCGCAAGUCGACUGUGAAAUCUCCGGGCUUAACUCGGAAAGGUCAGCCGAUACUGCGGGGCUAGAGUGCAGAAGGGGCAACUGGAAUUCUCGGUGUAGCGGUGAAAUGCGUAGAUAUCGAGAGGAACACCUGCGGCGAAGGCGGGUUGCUGGGCUGACACUGACGCUGAAACGCGAAAGCUAGGGGAGCGAACGGGAUUAGAUACCCCGGUAGUCCUAGCCUUAAACGAUGAAUGCUUGGUGUCUGGGGUUUUAUAGUCCCCGGGUGCCGUCGCUAACGCUUUAAGCAUUCCGCCUGGGGAGUACGGUCGCAAGACUG